rnacentral:rRNA from 1 species
AUGGCUGAGUCGGAGCUCAGGAAAGGACUGAAGACCAAGCUUCUUGGCCUUGAUGUGAUCGAGCCUUGCAGGAAGAGGCAGGCCUCCCGCCUCACCUGGCUGCGCGUGGGCGACACCCCAACGAAGUUCUUCAUGGCCAAGAUCAGCUCUAGAAGGCACAAAAACUUCAUACAUGCCCUAAAGGUCGGAGAAGAUGUUUUGACGGCACAUGCUGAGAAGGAAAAGGCAAUCCACGACCAUUUCAACAGUAUUUUGGGCACCCCUCAGCACCGACCCACGACCAUCAACUGGGCUCAGCUCCACAUGCCAACGAUCCAGAGAGGAGGACUGGACAACCCUUUCAUAGAAGAGGAGGUCUGGGCUGCGAUCAGGGCCUCGCCAGCUGAAAAAUCGCCAGGGCCGGACAGUUUCCGUGGCGUGUUCUUUAGAUCACGUUGA